AACGAACGCUGGCGGCAUGCCUAACACAUGCAAGUCGAACGAGACCUUCGGGUCUAGUGGCGCACGGGUGCGUAACGCGUGGGAACCUGCCCUUAGGUUCGGAUUAACUCCCCGAAAGGGGUGCUAAUACCGGAUAAUGUCUUCGGACCAAAGAUUUAUCGCCUUUGGAUGGGCCCGCGUUGGAUUAGCUAGUUGGUAGGGUAAAAGCCUACCAAGGCGACGAUCCAUAGCUGGUCUGAGAGGAUGAUCAGCCACACUGGGACUGAGACACGGCCCAGACUCAUACGGGAGGCAGCAGUGGGGAAUAUUGGACAAUGGGAGAAAGCCUGAUCCAGCAAUGCCGCGUGAGUGAUGAAGGCCUUAGGGUUGUAAAGCUCUUUUACCCGGGAUGAUAAUGACAGUACCGGGAGAAUAAGCUCCGGCUAACUCCGUG
rnacentral:rRNA from 1 species